UACGUAGGGGGCAAGCGUUGUCCGGAAUCAUUGGGCGUAAAGCGCGCGUAGGUGGCCUCAUAAGUCCGCUGUGAAAGUCAAAGGCUCAACCUUUGAAAGCCGGUGGAUACUGUGAGGCUAGAGUACGGAAGAGGCGAGUGGAAUUCCUGGUGUAGCGGUGGAAUGCGCAGAUAUCAGGAAGAACACCCGUGGCGAAGGCGGCUCUCUGGGACGGUACUGACGCUGAGACGCGAAAGCGUGGGGAGCGAACAGG
rnacentral:rRNA from 1 species